UACCCGGUAAGGUAGUGAUCACUUA
rnacentral:miRNA from 1 species